rnacentral:rRNA from 1 species
UGAGCGGAGAUAUAUGGAGCUUGCUUUAUAUAACUUAGCAGCGAACGGGUGAGUAACACGUAGAUAAUCUAUCCUAUACUGGGGGAUAGCCCGAUGAAAGUUGGAUUAAUACCGCAUAUAGCUAUAUAGUUGCAUGAUUAUGUAGUGAAAAAUUUAUUGGUAUAGGAGGAGUCUGCGGCACAUUAGCUAGUAGGUGAGGUAAAGGCUUACCUAGGCGACGAUGUGUAGCCGGUCUGAGAGGAUGAACGGCCACAAUGGAACUGAGACACGGUCCAUACUCCUACGGGAGGCAGCAGUGGGGAAUAUUGCACAAUGGGGGAAACCCUGAUGCAGCAACGCCGCGUGAGUGAAGAAGGUUUUCGGAUUGUAAAGCUCUGUUAGCAGGGAAGAGGAAGGACGGUACCUGCAGAGGAAGCCACGGCUAACUACGUGCCAGCAGCCGCGGUAAUACGUAGGUGGCAAGCGUUGUUCGGAAUAACUGGGCGUAAAGGAUGCGUAGGCGGUUAAACAAGUUAUAUGUUAAAUAUAUAGGCUUAACCUGUAGAAAGCAUAUAAAACUGUUUAACUAGAGUGCAGGAGAGGUAAGUGGAAUUCCUAGUGUAGCGGUGAAAUGCGUAGAGAUUAGGAAGAACACCAGUGGCGAAGGCGACUUACUGGACUGUAACUGACGCUGAGGCAUGAGAGCAUGGGGAGCAAACAGGAUUAGAUACCCUGGUAGUCCAUGCUGUAAACGAUGGGUACUAGGUGUGGGUUGUGAAUAACAAUUCGUGCCGUC